rnacentral:rRNA from 1 species
UACGUAGGUGGCAAGCGUUGUCCGGAUUUACUGGGCGUAAAGAGCGCGCAGGCGGUUGAUUAAGUCGAAUGUGAAAGCCCCCGGCUCAACUGGGGAGGGUCAUUCGAUACUGAUCAACUUGAAGGCAGGAGAGGGUAGUGGAAUUCCCGGUGUAGUGGUGAAAUGCGUAGAUAGUCGGGAGGAACACCAGUGGCGAAGGCGGCUUUCUGGUCCGAUACUGACGCUGAGGUGGCGAAAGCGUGGGGAGCCGAGUCCGG